AAAAAAGGUAGGAGAGAGGUCAGAGCAAAGAUCAAAUUACAAGAUUGUUUACAAUAAUAGAGCAUUAGCAAAUAAUAAGUCAGGUCAAUCAGAUCUAUCCAUAUCUAAAAGGCAAAAGGUUAGGCCACUCCCUACCAGUUAGGUCUUACAAAAAAAAAAUGUUAAGCCAAACAUACCCAAUUUCCACUCCCCCACCCGAAAAAAAAAAAAUUACAUAAAACAAAGAAGAAAGUAACCACAUAGAUCAAACGAAACCACUAAAAUA